rnacentral:rRNA from 1 species
CUACGGGGGGCAGCAGUGGGGAAUAUUGCACAAUGGGCGCAAGCCUGAUGCAGCCAUGCCGCGUGUAUGAAGAAGGCCUUCGGGUUGUAAAGUACUUUCAGCGGGGAGGAAGGGAGUAAAGUUAAUACCUUUGCUCAUUGACGUUACCCGCAGAAGAAGCACCGGCUAACUCCGUGCCAGCAGCCGCGGUAAUACGGAGGGUGCAAGCGUUAAUCGCAAUUACUGGGCGUAAAGCGCACGCAGGCGGUUGGUUAAGUCAGAUGUGAAAUCCCCGGGCUCAACCUGGGAACUGCAUCUGAUACUGGCAAGCUUGAGUCUCGUAGAGGGGGGUAGAAUUCCAGGUGUAGCGGUGAAAUGCGUAGAGAUCUGGAGGAAUACCGGUGGCGAAGGCGGCCCCCUGGACGAAGACUGACGCUCAGGUGCGAAAGCGUGGGGAGCAAACAGGAUUAGAUACCCCGGUAGUC